GUGUAGGUGUUGCAAUGCUAAUUGCCCGAUAAGCUUAAUGCUGCCCAUCCUUGAGUGAUGUUUAGUGGUGCUUUAAUGCCCCUUGUCUCCUGCUGAGUGCCCUGGUUCGAGGCAGUGGUGGAAGCAUGGAGAAGGAGAAGCCCAAACUUCUCCUAUCAGCUCUGGGUCUCAUCGGGAGCUGUUGUCACGGAAACAGAGAUCUGCAGAGCCCCGUGCGCUUGGCGUUAACCGCCUCGGUGCCGUGCUGAUGGGCAGGAAG
rnacentral:lncRNA from 14 species